rnacentral:lncRNA from 12 species
ACAAGAUAGACUUCACCUAUAAAGGAUGGAUGCUUGGGCAAUAUUUCCUGAUCAAUUGACAGUAGUAAAAAAGGGGUGGGUAUUUUUCCAAUUUAUUUCUUUGUUUGUUUGUAUAUGUGUAUGAUUGUAUGUAUUUAUAUAUGUGUGUGUGUGCAUUUUAACUAACAAAUAUCACUUCUUUAUAUAGAGGGUUUUGGAGGAUAGCAAUCUGAUUUAAAUGCCUUCUUUUUCCAAUAUAGUGUAGACUCCCCUCAAACUUUUUACAUAAAUGAGUUUAAAAAAAUACAGAAGACCCAGAGUUUAAUUCUGAAAGAAUCCACAGUCAUCUGAAUGACAGCUUUGGGGUAUGACUGGGGACUAGAAUGGACACAGAGCUCUUUUAAUUCUGUCUAACAAAGCCACAGACUAAUGUUAAGGAAUGUUUGUGUGAUCUCUCCAACAUGGAAUCAGUUACCCAAACACAGGAGUCUUUGCAGAGAUCCAAAAUAAUCAUAAAACCAUUAUAACCACAGGACCUCUUCGGAGUUAUCCCCUCAAUAGUGAAUGCUGCCCUUUUAAGCGAACUCUUAUAUUCAGAGAAGGAUUGUAAUAUCUCCAGCCUGGAAGAAAUCCCUAUUCCUGUGGCUCAUUUACUUCAUCUCUGUGGUUCUUGGAAGUUAAGAUUGAGUGAAAGCCACCCGAGGCAGUUGACUGAAUUCUGUCUUAAGCAGCGUACAGAGAGCCUUAAUAAACUCUGGCCAUUUAGCCAACCUUCAUUCCUGGGAAAUACUGUCCAGCUAUCCCUAAGUCCCAGUAAAUUGUUUGCCAUGGGACAACCCUCUGAUUUAUGAGCCUGGGCAUUCUUAGGAAUCUGAUCAGUCGGAGAAGGAAAAGGCAUACUCACCAUGCAGGAGCUCUGAAGGGAAAGCUUGCCCUUGGACCAUCAGGCCCCUCCUUUACAGGAAAUUUGGAACCACCACUGACUGACUGGCACAGGCAACGACAUAAGGCACAGUUCUGCGAAGAAAACACCAUGGUCGUGGACAUGGUUUCUCAUUCAUUUUUGUUAUAAAUGAUGUUGUAGAAAUGAUAAGGAAAGAUGUAGUGCCUGUUCCAGAGGGGGUCACUGGAUGUUGCUUAAGGUCUCUUACUAUUCAGCUUUCUGUCAAUCUCUGUGGCUCUUUUUUUUUUUAAUCACUUAUGGUCAACUGCUCUGCUUAGAGAUAUUUCCUUGGUGGGUAACACAUUUAUUAACAUAUGUGGCUGAGAUAUUGUGAUUUUAUAACAAUAAAUAUAUAUUUGGUCUUCA